UAAAGCGAAAGAAGGGCAUUCGGUGGAUGCCUUGGCUCUGAGAGGCGACGAAGGACGUGAUAAGCUGCGAAAAGCUGCGGGGAUCGGCAAAUACGACUUGAUCCGCAGAUAUCCGAAUGGGGCAACCCGGCAAGCUUGCUUGCCACCAUCCAAAGAUGGAGCGAACGUGGGGAACUGAAACAUCUUAGUACCCAUAGGAAGAGAGAACAAUUUAGUGAUUCCCCCAGUAGAGGCGAUCGAACGGGGACGAGCCCAAACCGGCAGUGUCGCAAGGCAUCGCCGGGGUUGUAGGGCUCUCGACAUCGCAAGAGUGACGCGAGGAGAAGUGACGUGGAAACGUCCACCAUAGACGGUGAUAGUCCGGUAACCGAAGCGAAGUGAAGCGUAGAGAGUACCUGAGUAGUGCGGGACACGUGCAAUCCUGUAUGAAACCGGGAGGUCCAUCUCCCAAGGCUAAAUACUUCUCAGAGACCGAUAGUGAACAAGUACCGUGAGGGAAAGGUGAAAAGAACCGCUCAUAGCGGAUUGAAAUAGUACCUGAAACCGGAUGCCUACAAGCGGUCGGAGCCCUUAGGGGUGACGGCGUGCCUUUUGCAUAAUGAACCUACGAGUUACCAUGCACAGCAAGGCUAAGCGAUCCAGUCGUGGAGCCGUAGCGAAAGCGAGUUUUAAAUGGCGUGAAGUUGUGUAGGGUAGACGCGAAACCAAGUGAUCUAUCCGUGUCCAGACUGAAGUGAGGGUAAAACCUCAUGGAGGGUCCAACGGAGAAAUGGUGAAAAAUUUCCCGAUGAGGUACGGAUAGGAGUGAAAGGCCAAUCAAACUUGGAGAUAGCUCGUACUCCCCGAAAUGCAUUUAGGUGCAGCCUUUAUGGUUAAGUACACGAGGUAGAGCGACUGAUUGGAUGCGAGAGCUUCACCGCUUAUCAAAUCCGGACAAACUCCGAAUGCGUGUAUGAAUUCAUGAAGAGUGAGGGUGCGGGAGCUAAGUUCCGUAUCCGAGAGGCAAAGAAGCCGGAUCAUCAGCUAAGGCCCCCAAAUGAUGUCUAAGUUGAAUGAACGAAGUCGCAAUGCAGAGACAGCUAGGAUGUUGGCUUGGAAGCAGCCAUUCAUUUAAAGAGUGCGUAACAGCUCACUAGUCGAGGAUUGUGGCGUGGAUAAUAAUCGGGCAUAAGACAUCUGCCGAAGCUAUGGGAUCGAAAGAUCGGUAGGGGAGCAUUCCAGCGAGGUCGAAGGUGUGAGGUGACUCAUGCUGGACUCUCUGGAAGAGCAAAUGUAGGUAUAAGUAACGAUAAAGGAAGUGAGAAUCUUCCUCGCCGAAAGACUAAGGUUUCCUCUUCAACGUUCGUCGGAAGAGGGUUAGUCGGGACCUAAGGAGUAGCCGUAGUUGGCGAAUCCGAACGGAAGAAUGGGUUAAUAUUCCCAUACUGAUUACACGUAGUGGAUGCAAGGACGAAGGAGUGAAAGCCUCGCCUGCUGACGGAAUAGCAGGUUAAAGGGAGUAGGCGCUGAUGGGGUAGUAAAGAACGUCCCAGAGCCGAACCUGAUAGUACCGGGAAUCUACGGAGGAACGGAUAGAGGUGUAAGCAGACUUCCAAGAAAAGUUGCUACAUGAUUGAUGUGUAAUCACUCGUACCACAAACCGACACAGGUAGUUGGGUUGAGUAUACUAAGGCGCGCGAGAUAGGCGUGGUUAAGGAACUAGGCAAAAUAGAUCUGUAACUUCGGGAAAAAGAUCGCCCUCCUCCGGGAGGGUCGCAGAGAAUAGGCUCAAGCGACUGUUUACCAAAAACACAGGGCUGUGCGAAAUAGAAAUAUGCAGUAUACAGCCUGACACCUGCCCGGUGCCGGAAGGUUAAGAGGAGAGGUCAUCCGUAAGGAGAAGCCUUGAAUUGAAGCCCCGGUAAACGGCGGCCGUAACUAUAACGGUCCUAAGGUAGCGAAAUUCCUUGUCGGGU
rnacentral:rRNA from 1 species